AGUUUUUUGGGAGAGAUGCCACUUUUUCUCAGUGUACCAACGAUCAUGGGUUGGAGCUUGAGUUGUGUGGCAGCCGGUACCGAAAACGAUACAUCAUCGAAAGCAACAGGACUCGAGAGCCAGAGCACUUUCAGUCCAACUGCGACGACUGACUGUGCGCCUUUUUGUGGCAAGUCAACAUGAUCUCAUCUGUCAUAGAUCGAUCGACCUGUUCCAACAAUGCCAGCAAAAACAACGGCAGUGGCAGUCGCACUCGCAGGAGGGAUCCCUGUACAGUACACACUACCUGUCCCCUAGCAGCGGGUGAUCAAACUGACGGAGGUUUCAACAUCGUUGCACAAAUUGUGUCCCUGCCCCACGGGUAAUUUAAAGGUAUAUAGGUAUCCGUAUAUACACCCUCGAUCGGACGAUCUUUAUCUGAGGAGGUGUUGCUGUUUACGUUGCCAUUAGAUGUGGGAUUAGAGCUUGAUUGGCUUGCCAUUUGUGACAGCUUUGUCGUUUUGGGGAUUGUCAACGGUUCCGAAAGGAUUAUUGUGAAUGCACAGCAAACAAAAUGUAGCUGGAACUGGCGAUUCCUUAGAAUAUCAUCUUGGACCCAUAAAAUCAAGCAUAAUACCCCAGCUGGAAAAUCUCUGCAGCGCUUAUCCAAAUGCUUUAUUUUCCCUAACUGUAACAGCAAACAGCCAUACGUUUUAAUACGUUUUUAAAAGCUUUUCACUAACUGCAACUCACGCCCAGACAGAGUCACGCAGUAGCCAAAAACGAACUAAACCCUAUAUAAAAACUAAACAAAAAUAAAUGGAAAACAUUUUGAUAUCAAUUUAAUUGAGCUCAUUUGCAUGUGCUGGAAAAAAAUAAAGAGUAAGCCCAGCCGGGCCAAUAGAAUUAAGAUAUGGCCGAGAGAAGAAGAUUGCCGCGUUGUUGGCCAUGACAAUAAUGCCAAUCUACGACUUACGGCCAGAAAGACAGCUACGAGUUGAAAAACGAAGCAGAACGAAUGGCAUUUGUGAGGCCAAAGAAAAAGGAGUCGGAAACUACAGAGAGAGAAAUGA